CCUACGGGUGGCUGCAGUGGGGAAUAUUGGACAAUGGGCGAAAGCCUGAUCCAGCCAUGCCGCGUGUGUGAAGAAGGCCUUCGGGUUGUAAAGCACUUUCAGUGGGGAAGAAAGCCUUGGGGCUAAUACCCUCGAGGAAGGACAUCACCCACAGAAGAAGCACCGGCUAACUCCGUGCCAGCAGCCGCGGUAAUACGGAGGGUGCGAGCGUUAAUCGGAAUUACUGGGCGUAAAGCGCGCGUAGGCGGUCUGAUAAGUCGGUUGUGAAAGCCCCGGGCUCAACCUGGGAACGGCAUCCGGAACUGUCAGGCUAGAGUGCAGGAGAGGAAGGUAGAAUUCCCGGUGUAGCGGUGAAAUGCGUAGAGAUCGGGAGGAAUACCAGUGGCGAAGGCGGCCUUCUGGACUGACACUGACGCUGAGGUGCGAAAGCGUGGGUAGCAAACAGGAUUAGAUACCCUAGUAGUC
rnacentral:rRNA from 1 species